rnacentral:lncRNA from 1 species
ACCAGCUAUUGCAAUCACAGGAUACAGCUUUUGUGUUGUGAGACAUGCAGCUCUUGUGGCCUUGAGGAAUUCUCAGCUGUAUGAUGGAUCUGGGGAAGGAGGAACUUCCUUUAGUUUUGUGCUUCUGUUGGCUUCUGUAAACUGUGGAUCAGUGCCGCCAGUAAAUGGGAUAUACCAGCAAGGUGGAUGGGCAUCCAUUUCAGGAAGGAAGAUGGAAGACACAUCUGGAAACUGUGGGUUUUGCAACACUGAAUGUCUUUAAAGCUGUCUGGACUGAAGACUUUGCCUGUUUAAAAUGUUUUGGAAUCCAUCCACUUUGGCUUUUCUCUGGAUUUUUCAUGGCAUUGAAAAAUGCAGUUGGACAUUUAUCCCACUUAUUGGAGCCCUCAAUUUUAUUUCCAUCUGGAAUCACACACCAAUACUUGUGGGGCAAUUAA